UACGGGGGGGGCAAGCGUUGUUCGGAAUUACUGGGCGUAAAGGGCUCGUAGGUGGCCAACUAAGUCAGACGUGAAAUCCCUCGGCUUAACCGGGGAACUGCGUCUGAUACUGGAUGGCUAGAGUUUGGGAGAGGGAUGCGGAAUUCCAGGUGUAGCGGUGAAAUGCGUAGAUAUCUGGAGGAACACCGGUGGCGAAGGCGGCAUCCUGGACCAACACUGACGCUGAGGAGCGAAAGCCAGGGGAGCAAAGCGGGG
rnacentral:rRNA from 1 species